CGGUUAACUUACACCUGCCCCC
rnacentral:miRNA from 1 species